rnacentral:tRNA from 1 species
GGGGCUUUAGCUCAAUGGUAGAGCGCAACGCUGGCAGUGUUAAGGUUAUCGGUUCGAGCCCGAUAAGCUCCA